rnacentral:ncRNA from 1 species
UGAAAGGCUAUGACGGAGUAAAGUAGGCUGGCAGAAACCGCCAGAGAGACGUGGGGCAUGGCUGAAACCCCCGCCCGGUACAACCCGGCCGAAGUUCCCUCCCGAGCUGUCUGAGUGAACGGAUUUUCCCUGUAGUUCAGACCGUCCUCCCGCCGUUACCCGGGAAGCCGAUGCUGGUCGGCGCAAAGUGGGCCUUUUGGCCAAAUUGGGUGGUACCGCGAGACCCCGCUCUCGUCCCAUGC